rnacentral:misc_RNA from 1 species
UUUCCGUAGGUGAACCUGCGGAAGGAUCAUUAAUGAGUUGUCAUGGGGUUCGAUGCUGGCAGCCAAUUUUUGGAUGCAUGUGCUCGCCCUAACAAUCAUCUUCCAAACACCUGUGCACAUUUUUGAGGGAGUCUUGAGUUGGUUGCCGCUCUUGGGUGAUUUUCUCACAUUCCCUUAAAUCAUUAUACGCUAUUAACAAUGUUGAACGUGCUCUGUGCCGCAAGGCUAUUAAUAUAAUACAACUUUUAACAACGGAUCUCUUGGCUCUC